rnacentral:lncRNA from 1 species
UUUCAAAUAUAUGUGGCCAUGAUCAAACUUCUAAUGACGUGCUUUGAAUCGGAGUCGUGGUUUGUAAUUUUGAUCUUUAGUAGCACACAUAAACAUAUAAAAUAAAUUACAAUGUAAAACAAUUUCAAGCAGUGCCCACAACAUGCUUUAGAAUUAGAUCCAAUUACACGUGCAUAAACAAUAGUAAAUCACACAAACAUUCCAUGAGAAAUUACAUCAGCUCAUGUGGCAUAAUGUCUAAUGUUACAAAAGCAGCCAUCCAAGAGUACAGGAUGCAGUAUCAUCAAGAAAAUGGUAAAGGAGAAUAUUCCAUAAACUCGUUCUUCUUGUUUAUGUCAUCUUAACCUUGUUCGCUAUAUCACGGGGGGAGUGAAAGCAAAGACUCUGUAUACAUAGCCACCCGGGAUGUGCAAUUCUCUUUAUAGUAGGAGGUAUACUCUAGAAACUGUCCUUUUUCAUCGUACUUCACCAAUCCAACUUCACCAUCAGUUGCAAUAAUAUCACCACUUUUUGUACGGCAUAUUGGAGAGAAGCAAUGGGUGGGAAUGACAUCAGUAGAAAAAACAAAAGUCUUAGUCCAUGACGAAUGCACUUUAUACUCUUUCAUCACCCAUAUUUCAACUAUAUCAUCCUGCUUAGUCCAUACACUGAGAAACUCACCAAUACCCACAAAUCACAAUCUGUAGGUUAAUGUUCAAAAUCACCUGGCAAACCUCUCCAAAAAAGAUCAUCUGGCAGAGACAUAUCUACAAGGUUUCUUUCCGUUAAAUCAAAGGCAACAAUAACAUUCAUCGAUAAAUCAAGAUGAAAAGCCAACCAGUGAAUAGCCCUGUUAAGGAGCGAUCCAAUCAUGGAAUAAUCAGAGAAGUUCAUAUAAGGGAUGUGAGUACCCUCAAUUUCUUUCCAUAUAUUAUCUCUCAACGAGAAAAACUCCAAAUGUGAUGAAAAAUUAUGGAAGUCUGUGUCAAAUGACAAUACAACCACCAAAUAAUCAUCUGUUGAUGGGUCAUACCCAAAACCAUAUAGAUAUAUGAAAUGGUGGACACGUGUGAAUAUGAACUAUAAGGAGACAAAGGUAUUUGUCUGUGAACUCUAGUGGAUGGAUUCCAAAGGUAAAAUUUGGUGCCACGGUGCAAAAAUAUAAACCCUUUGCAUGAACAUUUAGAUUGAAUAAAAAGAUAAAAUCUGUGAUGCGGAAGAGGAUCAGGACGUGGACGCACAAAUUUAAGGUUCAGUGAAGUAGAAGUAUAAUAAUCGCUAAGAGAGAUGCUUCAAAAUCGAUCAAUCGAGUUUGAAGAUCUGGAUUUGAUAUGAACAAAAUUCUAGGACUGUUUGCGGCGAUAAUUUGCAAAAUGGGUUUGAGAGAUAAGAGAAAACCAUAACUUACAAACACACUUGAAACGUAAAAGAGACAUCACCAGCAACCUGCAGAAUUAGGAUAAUCAAGUCAUGAGGCAGAUAAAGUGGAUUCUUCUCCAUGGGAUUUCCGAAUGUUGUUUGUCUGUCACUGUUCCGGUCCAGUUUGAUUUAGGGUUAGGGCUCCCAAUUCUAUAUUUUGUUGCUAAUGCUAGGCAUAAUGAAAGAGGGGCCGUGUUUUUAAUUGUAACGUGAACACUGAAGCGGUGCAGCCAAUGAGGAAAUUUAGGAACCUGUCUUGCAGAAAAAGGAAGGAAUAAAUUAUGAGAGCAUUGAAUGCCAUGGAGACUAAUCAAAAGAAUUAAUGAUAAUCAUUGGAGAAAUUCUCUCGUUCUUGAUGCAGCUCGCACAGUCUUUCAUCAGGAUCUAUCUAUUAAUUUUAUUUCUUUGCUUUCCACUUUUCUGUUUAGUUUUCUUCUUUCUCCUCUUACU